AUGGCAUCGCAGUGCUCCUUCGCCCACGGCGUCUCCCUCCCCGCGCACCGGCCGCCCCUCGCCUUCUUCACCUCCUGCAGGCUAGGGCACGGUGCCGUACGCACGAGCGCGAACCAUAGAGUCGUGGCGGCGGCGAGGCCGGUGGGCGCAGUCAGGAGGAUGCUUGGCUCAGCCAGAUACGGCAGCGCCGGGGCGGCAGCGUUGCGGGCGGAAGAGGCGGAGGUGGCCGUACCGCCGUCGGUGCCGGUGCGCGUCGCCUACGAGCUGCAGCUGGCCGGCCACCGCUAUCUCGACGUCAGAACGGAGGGCGAGUUCGCCGGCGGGCAUCCGGCAGGAGCGGUGAACGUCCCCUACAUGUACAGCACCGGCUCUGGAAUGGCGAAGAACCCGCACUUUGUCGAGCAAGUGUCGACGAUCUUUGGCAGGGACGACGAGAUCAUCAUCGGAUGCCAAAGUGGCAAGAGAUCUCUCCCGGCAGCAGCCCAACUCUGUUCCGCUGGCUUCACUGCGGUGACCGACAUCGCCGGAGGGUUCUCAACCUGGAGGGAGAACGGACUGCCGGUCAAUGGACGGUGA
rnacentral:rRNA from 1 species